GACGUAGGAGGCGAGCGUUGUCCGGAUUUACUGGGCGUAAAGCGCGCGCAGGCGGUCGCGCAGGUCAUCUGUGAAAGCCCCCGGCUCAACCGGGCGGAUGCGGGUGAAACCGCGCGACUGGAGGGUGGGAGAGGUCGGCGGAAUUCCCGGUGUAGUGGUGAAAUGCGUAGAGAUCGGGAGGAACACCCGUGGCGAAGGCGGCCAACUGGGCCGGACCUGACGCUGAGGCGCGAAGGCGUGGGGAGCGAACGGG
rnacentral:rRNA from 1 species